rnacentral:rRNA from 1 species
CAGUAGCCGCGGGAAUACGGAGGGUGCAAGCGUUAUCCGGAUUUAUUGGGUUUAAAGGGUCCGUAGGCGGAUCUGUAAGUCAGUGGUGAAAUCUCACAGCUUAACUGUGAAACUGCCAUUGAUACUGCAGGUCUUGAGUAAAUUUGAAGUGGCUGGAAUAAGUAGUGUAGCGGUGAAAUGCAUAGAUAUUACUUAGAACACCAAUUGCGAAGGCAGGUCACUAAGAUUUAACUGACGCUGAUGGACGAAAGCGUGGGGAGCGAACAGGAUUAGAGACCCCCGUAGUCCCUGUCUCUUAUAC